rnacentral:rRNA from 1 species
AUUGAACGCUGGCGGCAGGCCUAACACAUGCAAGUCGAGCGAUAGCACAGAGGAGCUUGCUCCUUGGGUGACGAGCGGCGGACGGGUGAGUAAUGCCUGGGGAUCUGCCCGAUAGAGGGGGAUAACUACGGGAAACUGUAGCUAAUACCGCAUAAUGUCUACGGACCAAAGUGGGGGCUCUUCGGACCUCAUGCUAUCGGAUGAACCCAGGUGGGAUUAGCUAGUUGGUGAGGUAAUGGCUCACCAAGGCGACGAUCUCUAACUGGUUUGAGAGAAUGACCAGUCACACUGGAACUGAGACACGGUCCAGACUCCUACGGGAGGCAGCAGUGGGGAAUAUUGCACAAUGGGCGCAAGCCUGAUGCAGCCAUGCCGCGUGUGUGAAGAAGGCCUUCGGGUUGUAAAGCACUUUCAGCGGGGAGGAAGGGUCACUAGCUAAUACCUAGUGGCAUUGACGUUACUCGCAGAAGAAGCACCGGCUAACUCCGUGCCAGCAGCCGCGGUAAUACGGAGGGUGCAAGCGUUAAUCGGAAUUACUGGGCGUAAAGCGCACGCAGGCGGUUUGUUAAGUCANAUGUGAAAUCCCCGAGCUCAACUUGGGAACUGCAUUUGAAACUGGCAAGCUAGAGUCUUGNAGAGGGGGGUAGAAUUCC